CAGCCGCCACGGGAAUACGUAGGUGGCAAGCGUUGUCCGGAAUUAUUGGGCGUAAAGCGUCUGUAGGUGGCUUUUCAAGUCCGCCUUCAAAUCCCAGGGCUCAACCAUGGACAGGUGGUGGAAACUACCAAGCUGGAGUACGGUAGGGGCAGAGGGAAUUUCCAGUGGAGCGGUGAAAUGCGUUGAGAUGUGGAGGAACACCAGUGGCGAAGGCGACUCUCUGGUCUGUAACUGACGCUGAGGAGCGUAAGCGUGGGGAGCGAACAGGAUUAGAUACCCCUGUAGUCCCUGUCUCUUAUAC
rnacentral:rRNA from 1 species